CAAGAAAACACCGAAACCGAAACCGAAAAAACGAAACCGAAACUGAAAACGAAGGCAUUUAUUUUGAUGAAAUGGUUUUGUUUGUUUUUCUUGUUUUUUUUUUUGUGUUAUUUUUGUUGUUUUUUGGUGUUUUUGUUCUUUUUUGUUGUUAAUUGUUGUUGUUUUUGU
rnacentral:ribozyme from 12 species